GUUCUUAGAGCUCCCGAGAUGGUGGCGGCCGGCUCCCAAGGUGGCAGCAAGACUUUUGUUCUCUGACCUGGGGUUCUUGGCCUCCUGGAUUCCAAAGAAUGGAACCUUGGGGCCAUGCGAUUACUGGUGUGAUUACUGUCUCCUGACUGGACCCUGACUGCUAUAGAAUUGACGGAGUCUCACUCAGUCAUCCAGGCUGGAGUGCAGUGGCACAAUCUCAGCUCGCUACAACCUCUGCCUCCCGGGUUCGAAGUGAUUCUCCUGCCUCAGCCUCCUGAGUGGUUGGGAUUACAGGCAUGGCCUACCAUGCUCUGCUUUUUUUUUGAGACAGAGUUUUGCUCUUGUUGCCCAAGGAGUGCAAUGGCAUGAUCUCGGCUCACUGCAACCUCCGCCUCUCAGGUUCAAGCAAUUCUCCUGCCUCAGGCUCCCGAGUAGCUGGAAUUACAGAUAAAUAUGCUGAGGCAUGUUUUCAAGGAGGGGAGAGAGAUUCCUUUUCCUCAGCCGGGCACAGAGCCAACCUGAAGUGUAGCACUGUGGUGACCUGGCGGGAUCUGCUCUCCAGUCACUCCCGAGGGCCCUUCUGGGGACAAGGAGACUUUUCUGUGCGGCCUGUUGAUUUGAUAGAGAUGAUGUCUUGCCACAUUGCCCAGGCUGGUCUCAAACUCCAGGCCUAAAGGGAUCUUCUGACUUUGGCCUCCCAAAGUGCUGAGAUUAUAGGAUCGAGGCUAUCAAGCUACAGAUGAUCUUACAAAUGGAACCCCAAAUGAGCUCAACUAACAACUACCAAGGACCCCUGGACCAACCCGCUGGCCCUUUCAAUGGCCUAAAGAGUUCCCCUCUGGAGGACACUACAACUGCAGGGUCCUUUCUUUGCCCCUAUCCAGCAGGAAGUAGCUAGAGUGGUCAUCACCCAAUUCCCAACAGCAGUUGGGGUGUCUUGUUAAGUGGGGAGAUUGAGAGGUGAAGCCAGCUGGGCUUCUGGGUUGGGUGGGGACUUGGAGAACUUUUCUGUCUAGCUAGAGGAUUGUAAACACACCAAUCAGUGCUAUGUGUCUAGCUAGAGGUUUGUAAAUGCACCAAUCAGCACUCUGUAAAAACGGACCAAUCAGCACUCUGUAAAAUGGACCAAUCAGUAGGAUGCGGGCAGGGCCAAAUAAGGGAAUAAAAGCUGGCCACCUGAGUCAGCAGUGGCAACCCACUCGGGUCCCCUUCCAUGCUGUGGAAGCUUUGUUCUUUCACUCUUCACAAUAAAUCUUGCUGCUGCUCACUCUUUGGGUCCACACCACCUUUAUGAGCUGCAACACUCACUGCGAAGGUCUUCAGCUUCACUCCUGAAGUCAGCGAGACCACGAACCCAUGGGGAGGAACAAUCGACUUCAGACAUGCCACCUUUAAGAGCUGUAACACUCACUGCGAAGGUCUGUGGCUUCACUCCUGAAGUCAGCAAGACCACGAACCCACUGGAAGGAAGAAAUUUCGGACACAUCUGAACAUCUGAAUGAACAAACUCUGGACACGCCAUCUUUAAGAACUGUAACACUCACUGUGAGGGUUCAUGGGUUCAUUCUUGAAGUCAGCAAGACCAAGAACCCACCAGAAGGAACCAAUUCCGGACACAGACUCACUGCAACCUCCACCUCCUGGAUUCAAGUGAUUCUCCUGCCUCAGCCUCCGGAGUAGCUGUGCCUACAGGCACAAGCCACCACACACGGCUAAUUUUUUGUAUUUUUAGUAGAGAUGGGGUUUCACCAUGUUGCUCAGGCUGGUCUCCAACUCCUGAGCUCAAGUGAUCCACCUGUCUCGGCCUCCCAAAGUGUUGGGAUACAUGUGUGAGCCACUGUGCCCGGCCUCCUCUGGAUUAGUUCUUACAGGAAUAGAUUAGUUCUUGCUCGAGCAAGUUGUUAUAAAAGUGAGGUUGCCUCUAGUGUUUUGCAUCCUCACAUAUGUCUGCUUACCUCUUGACCUCUCUCUGUGUUAUGACCCAGCACAAAAGCCCUUACCAGAAGCCAAGCAGAUGCUGAUGCCACACCCCUUGGACUUCUCAGUCUACAGAGCCAUGAAACGAAUAAACCUCUCUUUAUAAAUU
rnacentral:lncRNA from 1 species